rnacentral:rRNA from 1 species
AACGACUCUCGGCAACGGAUAUCUCGGCUCACGCAUCGAUGAAGAACGUAGCAAAAUGCGAUACUUGGUGGAAUUGCA